rnacentral:rRNA from 1 species
AUUGAACGCUGGCGGCAUGCUUUACACAUGCAAGUCGAACGGCAGCGCGGGCUUCGGCCUGGCGGCGAGUGGCGAACGGGUGAGUAAUACAUCGGAACGUGCCCAGUAGUGGGGGAUAGCUCGGCGAAAGCCGGAUUAAUACCGCAUACGACCUGAGGGUGAAAGCGGGGGAUCUUCGGACCUCGCGCUAUUGGAGCGGCCGAUGGCAGAUUAGCUAGUUGGUGGGGUAAAGGCCUACCAAGGCGACGAUCUGUAGCUGGUCUGAGAGGACGACCAGCCACACUGGGACUGAGACACGGCCCAGACUCCUACGAGAGGCAGCAGUGGGGAAUUUUGGGCAAUGGGCGAAAGCCUGAUCCAGCAAUGCCGCGUGUGUGAUGAAGGCCUUCGGGUUGUAAAGCACUUUUGGCGGGAACGAAAAGGACUGUGCCAAUACCACGGUUCGAUGACGGUACCCGCAGAAUAAGCACCGGCUAACUACGUG